rnacentral:rRNA from 1 species
AUUGAACGCUGGCGGCAUGCCUUACACAUGCAAGUCGAACGGUGACAGGUCUUCGGAUGCUGACGAGUGGCGAACGGGUGAGUAAUACAUCGGAACGUGCCUAGUAGUGGGGGAUAACUACUCGAAAGAGUGGCUAAUACCGCAUGAGAUCUACGGAUGAAAGCAGGGGAUCGCAAGACCUUGUGCUACUAGAGCGGCCGAUGGCAGAUUAGGUAGUUGGUGGGAUAAAAGCUUACCAAGCCGACGAUCUGUAGGUGGUCUGAGAGGACGAUCAGCCACACUGGGACGGAGCAACGGCCCAGACUCCUACGGGAGGCAGCAGUGUGGAAUUUUGGACAAUGGGCGCAAGCCUGAUCCAGCAAUGCCGCGUGCAGGAUGAAGGCCUUCGGGUUGUAAACUGCUUUUGUACGGAACGAAAAGCCCUGGGUUAAUACCCUGGGGUCAUGACGGUACCGUAAGAAUAAGCACCGGCUAACUACGUGCCAGCCGCCGCGGUAAUAC